ACCAGACCUGAAGGUGGCCUGCAGACAGAGUAAUGCCAGAGCGGCAAUGUCACAGUGGUGACAUCAUGGGCAACUACUCCUAUCAGGGAAAUGGGAGGUUCAGAACUUUAGACUGCUCACCCCAGGAGACCCCAUCUCUGAGCAGGGAGUCUAUCUUGGCUUCCCGAUGCUGUCAUGGGCUUCAGGCUUCUCUGCUGUGUAGCCCUUUGGCUCUUGGGAGCAGGCCCAGUGGAGUCGGGGGUCACCCAAACUCCAAGACACCUGAUCAAAACAAGAGGAUUGAAAGUGACCCUGAGAUGUUCCCCUGUCUCUGGACACCAAUCUGUGUACUGGUACCAACAGGUUCUGGGCCAGGGCCCCCGGUUCCUCAUUCAGUAUUACAAUAAGGAAGAGAGAGACAAAGGAGACAUCCCGGAGCGGUUUUCAGCUCAGCAGUUCAGGGACUACAGCUCCCAGCUGGACCUGGACUUGCUGGAGCUGGGAGACUCAGCCCUGUAUCUCUGCGCCAGCAGCUAG